rnacentral:tRNA from 5 species
UGGGGGUUAGCCAAGCGGUAAGGCAACGGACUUUGACUCCGUCAUGCAUAGGUUCGAAUCCUAUACCCCCAGCCA